UACGGAGGGUCCAAGCGUUAUCCGGAUUCACUGGGUUUAAAGGGUGCGUAGGUGGGAAUGUAAGUCAGUGGUGAAAUCUCCGUGCUUAACAUGGAAACUGCCAUUGAUACUAUGUUUCUUGAAUUUUCUGGAGGUAAGCGGAAUAUGUCAUGUAGCGGUGAAAUGCUUAGAUAUGACAUAGAACACCAAUUGCGAAGGCAGCUUGCUACAGGGAUAUUGACACUGAGGCACGAAAGCGUGGGGAUCAAACAGG
rnacentral:rRNA from 1 species